CCACCAACAGGUACAUUCACUUAACAAGAAAGUUGUAUGAAAAGAUGGCUCCGUUUGUCUCCAGGAACCCGAGAGAGGCCUUCCAAAACUAUAGGGAUCUCGACAUUGGCGCCAAUCUGUACAACCAAAGUAACCUUCUAACUGCUAGAGUUUACGGAAGCAAGUAUUUUAAAGGUAACUUUGAAAGAUUGGUGCGUGUGAAAACCGUGGUUGAUCCUCACAACUUUUUCAAGCAUGAACAAAGUAUCCCACCUAUUUAGAGAGAGAUUGGAAGGUUUAAGAAUGAACAUGUGUGAGUCUGGCUAGUCAUCCUAGAUAAUGCUAUUGAUGCUUGUAAUAUUGAUUUGAUGUAUUGGAAAAUAAAGCAUAGUCUACAAUAAGCCAUCAUAUAUAUGUACAAAAGACUUAUUUUUGGGACGUUCAUUCAUAAAAGGUGACAAUGUUCUUAGCAAUCAGUCAACAAUGUCACCUUAUCCACACAACCUCUACUAUGACGGCUAUGCCCGAUAUUGGGAAAGCAAUAUGUUAUGCGGUUUGUAUGUAAGCAGUUAGCUAUUACUCAAAUUUUGAAUUGCUUAACCUAAUUACCUAAUCGUGUAGAAUAUUGUUUAACCUAAUUCCUCACGUUUGAUAUGCAUAGGCUUGUUGAAAGAGACCCCUUACAACUUUGCAAUAAUGUUCUUUGGGACAUGGAAAUUUUGAAGUUUUGGAAAUAAAACCGUUACUUUUCAAUGUUAAGAAAAAUUACAUUUACUGGGAUUAAUGGUAGUUUGUUGUUGGGUUGACUGGUCCUUAAGAUCGCAUCCGCAAUGAUGAGGGUCAUUUCAAUUUUAUUUCAAUAAAAUGAACUUUUGACUUGCAGUAGUAAAGUUCAGUUCAUUUCAGAGAUCAAUAUUUCAUUUCAAGGAUCAAUAGUUCAUUUUCAGAGGUUAAUAAAAUAAACUUUGAAAUGAAAUUCAUUUCAAUAAGCUGAUCCAUCAUUAUAACUCUACAUCCUCUCUCUUGUCGACACAUGAAGAACAUUAAUUUUACCUUUUAAUUUUCCAUUACAUUUAAUUUAAACUAGCCGUUAAGUUCUCCUCCCCCCCCAAGAUUUCAUUGAUUUGUAUACUAGCCUCUCUAUUAUUGAUUUGGUGAGGCAUUACUCUGCUGCAUGCUGCAAUAUGAAUUUCAGAUUUUUAUUUAUUUUUUAAUGAUUACAUGCAAAAGAAAGGAAAACUGAAGUGUCAAGCUCAGCAACGUCAGAUUUUAAAGAAUCAUGAUCAUCCCAAGGUUCAGUAGCUGCAUCAUCUUGCCCACUGGCGUCUGGUAAAGCUGUUGAAACACUGCUGCUACCAACAAUGUCAUCAACUUCUGACUCAGUAUCACUAUCAAUCUCACGUAAUCUCUUGAUCCACCGUCAACAUCAGGUGCCUGCAGCAAUCCACUGUCCAAGGAGCUCGAUAUAGGCUUAACACUCUAAGCACUUACUGCAGCCGAACGACCUAACUGGAAGCGAGCGCAACGAAGAAGAUUCCAGAUCAUGUAUUGUAGAAGCCUCACCAUCAGUGGCACAAGAGACUACAUCUUCUACCUAGAGAAGCUAGAAAAGUGGAGCCAUCUUUGCAUGCAACUGAAACAUAUAAGAAAGCCUAUAAUAUUUACCUUCAGAAAGUAAGAUGUCAGCAAUUUCAUAUUAACUGAUUAUAUACUGUCAUCUUCAAAUAUCAGCAUCUAUUUCUAUCAUUUGGGAUAAUGAUGUCAUCAUAUUUAGUUUGGCCUGGGUGAUCAUUAUAGUUUAUAAUCGUUAUAAACUACCAUUUUCUUAAAGGAUAAACUACCAUUUGCAAACCAAUGAUCGAUAGCCAAUAUCCAAAAAGCAAUUCAUGCGCAAGAACCAAUUGAUCAUCAUAUAAAUUCCCAAAGAAGAAAAGGCUUGUAACUCUCAGGUUAAGUAGCUUAGAUGGUGUGGGACGUAAGGGUUGGAGAAUUCCAUUUUUGGGAUUAGGGCAUAAUUCUCCCUUUGCAUAAUGCAUUGGCCUUCUUCCAUUUCAUUCCCCUCCACCUCCCCUCCCCCAGCACACACACACACACACACAACAAAAAAGACUCUCCCACAAACUUGCGAGUUACAACACAAUAUGAUAGUAUUAUUAUAUUAACGUAUCAAAACAACAGAAAUAUUAUAUUAGCUUCUCUUGGGGCGUGUUUGUUAAAGCAUUUCAAAGACUACUUUAGUGUAAUUCAUGUUGAUUGGACAGAGUUUUGGGUUGAAUAUAAUAUGAUUUCAUAUGUCAUGUCAUGAUUGUUGGUCUGAUUUUGAUGGUUUUCUACAAGAUAUCAUUGAAGACGAAAAGAACAAAGAAAUAUUUUUCCUUUCUCUGUGUUCUCUCUAGCCCAUCUUUCUUGUAGGUUUUCUUUCUCUGUUUUGAAUAAGAUAUAGUUUUCCUUGUAAAAACAACAAAGAAAUAGACCAGAACAAGAUUAUUUUGAGGCUUUUGAAGACUUACCCGAAGUGGACUUUGAUUUCCAGUACGAAAUUCUCAACAAAAAGGUCUAACAGGUGAUCUUCGCAUGCUAUUUGUUAUUUAGUAGACAACAUCAACGAUAGUUUUCAAUUCCAUGAUUGACCAGAACUGACGCAGGCAACAGAAAAGCCAAGAUCAAGCUGAUAGCACAAAGAAUCACAAAGAUAAUUUCGAAAGAUAGGCCUAGGCGCUAGGCACCCGCCUAGGCGGCCCAGGCGGGUCUGGGCAAUAUAACAUUCGUUUCUUUAGGUUUUUUUAUUUUCUUUUUUGUAAUUAAAUAAUAUCUAUGGUUUAUUUUAAUUACUUUUAUUAGUAAUUAUAUUUUAAUUAUUAUUUCUUUUGUGAACAAUUAGUAUUAAAUAUUUUAAUUACAUUUAUAAAUUAUAUUACUUGAUAAAUAGUAAUUUAUUUAUUUUAAUAAUUUUCCCACUUUAAUUUUCAUCGGGAUAAUUUUUUUUCGAAAUAGCUAAUUAAUUAUUAUUUUUUAAUUGAGUAAUAUCUUAGUCUUAUUUAAUUAAUAUAAUUACUAGGUAGCUUUUUGUUAUUUUUUAGUUAAUAAUUAGUAUUUAAAUAUUUAAUUUGUUUCAUAAAUUACUUAUCAAAUAGUAAUUAAUUAUUAUGAAUUAUUUUGUGCACUUAAAAACCAAGAAAGUGGUUGCAACGUAGUAAGUAUAUAUCACAAAAGAACCAAUACAUACAUAUACUAUACUUGAUUUGCUUAUUAACUUAGUUCUUGAUUGACUGGCUUGUAGUGAUUAUAUGUCCCUAGAAUACGCAACUGAUGGGUUCUACACAAUAAAAUCUGAUGUCUAUAGCUUUGGUGUGUUGGUGCUAGAGAUAAUGAGUGGGAAGAGAAACAUAGGAUUUACUUAUUGCUUGUUUUUGUUUCUUCUUCUAAAUAAGCAUAAUGGUUUUGAAACGGGACUCAGGUGAUUUACGUGAAGUUGUUAGAUUAAUUCAUGUGGGACAUUUAUGUGUGCAACGUAACCCUGGAGAUAGGCCGAGCAUGCUAGUUAUAGUUCUAAUGACAGGACCUGCUCUGAAUUCCUCGAAACUCGGGACGAAUCCUGUGGAAUUUUGUCACAUCCCGGGAUCAACUCCGCCGUAGCACGAUAUUGUCCGCUCUGGGCCCCCCUCUCUGGCCCUCACGGUUUUGUUUCUGGGAACUCACGAGCAACUUCCCAGUAGGUCACCCAUCCUGAGAUUGCUCUAGCCCCCAACUCGCUUAACUUCGGAGUUCCUAUGACUCCGAAGCCAGUGAGCUCCCAAAAGGCCUCGUGCUAGAUGGAUGCGGGCGUGCACAUAUAAGGCACAUCACCAUCUCUCGGUUGGUCGAUGUGGGAUCUUACAAUCCACCCCCCUUAAGGGCCCGACGUCCUCGUCGGCACACUCGCACCACACGGCAGAGUGGCUCUGAUACCAAAUUGUCACAUCCCGGGAUCAACUCCGCCGUAGCACGAUAUUGUCCGCUCUGGGCCCCCCUCUCUGGCCCUCACGGUUUUGUUUCUGGGAACUGGCGAGCAACUUCCUAGUAGGUCACCCAUCCUGGGAUUGCUCUAGCCCCCAACUCGCUUAACUUCGGAGUUCCUAUGACUCCGAAGCAGUGAGCUCCCAAAAGGCCUCGUGCUAGAUGGAUGCGGGCGUGCACAUAUAAGGCACAUCACCAUCUCUCCGUUGGUCGAUGUGGGAUCUUACAAAUUUUCAACCUCACACCGAUAUCGGGCCCACUUACUAACGAUAUAGCCUCUUUUCCAAAUCAAGGAAAAGAGAGAUGAGACUUUGUGCCGAAAUUUCAGUAGAGUCUCCCCUGAAAAACGGACAUUUACUAAAUUUGUUUCACUUGUAACAAUCACAGUUUAAGAAACCAACUGCCAGCACACACAAUGUAAUAACACACAGUUUGCAUAAUAGACUUCUAUCCUUCACAUAAUUCAAGCAAAUCCACCAGCAAUGCUCUUAAGUCACAUGAUACAUUAACAAUGCAAUUAAUGGACCCAAACAAUUUUAUGAAUACCCACUGUAAUAAACAUAAAAUAACUUCCCAAAUUUUCACCAUAUAACGUUUACCAUCCAAACGCAAUCACAAGUAGCUUAACUUCCCUCGUUCUUCAAACCUCAUCACCUUCUAAGGAGAUAAUUCCAAGAAUACCCACUCACCAACUACAAUUUCAACAUCCUUGAACCAACUGUCCAUGUAACCCUUCUAUUAGUAUUGUAUCAUUUUAGACUUUGCCAAUGUCAUCCUCUGUAUGAUUAAGCAAAAGCUCACUGGGUCUAGUACUCGCAACUUUUGGAGUUGAUGAUGAAGCUUCGAUCCAAGGUUUACUUGGUUUAAAACAUUCCAAUGCUGAAGGUUUCUUGAGACCCAAUAAAGAUCACCGUCAAAAUCUUCACCACCCAUUUCGUCAGCUACAUAACGUGGGCCUUUGCAAGAGAAGAAUACAGCUUAUUGGGCAUUUCUGACAACUUAUUCUAACUCAUUCACGCACCUGGCCUUUAAAGCAUGAAUAUCAUGAAACUAUAAAUCUGGAUGCUGGUACCCCAGUACCUCUCCCGACAUUUGUCCACUAUCAAGGAUAACGCAAACUUCAUCUCCUUCCAUAAUCCCUAUUGGAUUAGUUGUCUCCAUCAACAUAUAAUUCUGAGGCCUACAAUUUUCGCCUUUUCUAAGACUGUUAUUUUCAUCUUUCUUUAGAAUUGACAGACGAUAUUGCUAGUAUGAUGCUUCGAAAGAAAUACUCAUCUUUACCAAUUUGUAAUUAUCAUCUCUCUCACCAUGAUUAUCUUCCCGAUCUUUCAUAAGUAACUCCAUGAAGUACUCUCUUGGCACCCCUCCAUGACAUAGAAGUGCAAUUAAAUGUCUUGAAAGAUACAUAUUUCCAUAUGAUUUGCUUACCUUAAUUAUCUCUAAACGAAUUCACUGUUUUAGGGUACCACAACCAAUAGAACUCCCAUUGGUCCAACCCGAACGACACGCAACUCAACACUUGCUACCUUUGCUACCUUUAUUAGUCAACUGCAUUUGUCGGCCUUGCCGACUCGAGCACUUCCCUUGUGACAGAGCCUUGUCCUUGCCCCUCUAGAAACGAUAUUCCUCAUAACCGUGUUUACUACAACACUCAUCUCGAAUGUAAUCUCUUGCACCUUUCUUUUCUUGCACUAAUGUCAUGCCAAGACUUUCUGGGGACUUGAGAUACCCACGACUACCUUAUUUCUUCGGGGAUGCUACAUAAGGGUAACAUCCCAAACUUAUUGAGGUAUGUUGACUUUCGUUUUUCUGUACUUUUUUUUUUCUAUGUUAUUUUUUAAUAAUAGAAAAAAAUAUAUAUAUUACAUUUAUUGCAUAAAUGAUAGUUUGUUCUUGAGAUCCACAACUUAUUAAUUGGAAUGCAUAUUUGGAGUAAGUAGAUGAGCACAUAUCAAGAAAUAAGGAAAGGAACAUAUAAAAAGGAAGAAAAAUGGAGAGAACAGAUCCGGACUCGUAAGAUCAAGCUAAAGCGAAGUCUUCUCUUUCUAUCUUUUUCAGGUGGGAGGGUUUGGAUUAGGGGUGGGCACUCAAACUGGCGAAUCGAAAAUUCAAGCCGAACCGCACCGAACUAAACCAGAAAAAAAUCGAGUUGACCAAAAAGUCAACAACCGGUCAACAACCGAACCGGAUCGGUUUGGACCAGUUUCGAAUUCAGUUCCAUGUCUUUAAAAACCGAACCGGGUCGCACCAAACCGGUCAAACUAAAAAAAAUAAUAUAAUUUCAAUAUAUAUUUAUAUUUAAUGCUAUAUUUUUAAUUUCACUAAAAAAAACAUAAUAUUUAUCCAAGUUCAAUGUCAAAAUAUCUCUUUUUUCUAACUUUAAUAUUUAUUUUUUUAUAUGAAAUUGAAUAAUUUGUUAAUUUUCAAGUAAAAAAAUAAUAUUUCAGUUGAGAAUUGUAUUAAAAAAUAAUUUUAAAAAAUAAUUUAUAUAAUCCAGUUCAAAACCGAACCGGAAUCGGAACCAGACCAAAAUCGGUUCAAACGGAAUCGGACUGAAACCAGUUCAAACAGAACCGGACUGAAACCGGUUCAAAUGGAACCAGACUGAAACCGGUUUAAACAGAACCGGACAGUUUUUGAAAUUUUUUUAUUAAAAUCGAAUCAAACCGAACCAAACUAAAUGAAUAGUACCGGAUCAAUUUUAAUUUGAGACAAAAAUCGGUUCAAACUGAACCGUGUCCACCCUUAAGUUGGACACCCCAAACAACUCAGCUAACAUUGUCACAUCAAGCGAAGAAAAUAAGCCAUGCAAGGUAGCAAAUUUAUGUUUAACAUAUGGGCACAUUUUGCAGUUGGAAACAAACCCUGCGAUUCAAUUAUAUGAAAUCCCAUAUCAAAUGGGUUUGGCUUCUUGUGUCCAUAAUUAAUAAUAUUUGAUUGGACUAAAUAAUCCCAAAAGAUUUAGUAGAUUUACUUGGAAUAUUUAUUAAUAACAAAGUGAUUAAAUUAAGAGUAAUGUCAACACGAUCACGAAUGAUUGACAUAUAAUCCUUUACGUCCAUCAUGAAUAUAUACCUUUGACUUCCAAUUUAUGUUUGACAUAUGGGCACAUUUUGCAGUGGGAAACAAACUCAUUUGAAAUCGUGGACCCAGAUAGGCAAUCCCGUAUCAAAUGGGUUUGGCUUAUUGUGUCCAUAAUUAAUAAUAUUUGAUUGGACUAAAUAAUCCCAAAAGAUUUAGUAGAAUUACUUGGAAUAUUUAUUAAUAACAAAGUGAUUAAGUUAAGAAUAAUUAAUAAUAUAUGAUUCAGUAGAUUUCUUUCCAUACCGAUUCAGGGCAUGUUUACGUAUCAGUAAUGGAGAAAGUAAGGAAUCAGAUAAUUUAGGAAUCGGGGAACUACUGAAUCGGUAUGGGAAGAAUCAUUCCCAUUAAGCUGUUUACUAAACAUACGAAAUUAGUAAAGGAAUGGGGUUGAUUCCCAUUGUUAUUGUUUACUAAUUUUCAUGAAUCAGAAUCCAAAUUAAUUUGAUUACUAAAAUGCCCUACACAUUUUCACCACAUCACAUAUAUAAAAUUCACCCAAAACCAAAAGCUAUAGGAAAAGGGGUUUUGAAUUAAUCAGUAAGAGGGAAUCCGUUAUCAAAGAAAAUUAUCAGCAAUUUAUUCUGAACCAAAAGCUAGACAAGCUAACCUGGCUAAGAAAUCUUUGAUCAAGUGAGAUAAAAUUCACAAAAGAAGUCACCUGUGUUGUAACGUUAAGGGUUUGAGUUGUUUGAACUCCUUCUGGCGUGUAUUUUUAUUUUUUUUAAGGUUUGAGUUAUUUUGGAAUUAUAGUAAAGUGGUAAGGGUAUUUUUGGAAGUUAAUAAGAGAAAGCAGGAAUGGGAAUCGUAUCGACUAGUCCCCCCUAGUCGAUCUGAUACCUAGUUUUGAGGGAAUGUGAUUACGGAUUUUGAGGUGGGACCCACUUAUUUUUUCAUUCCUGAUUGCAAGUAAACGCAGGGGAAGUCAGGAAUGGAAAUCAUUCCCUUUCCUCCCAUACCCAUUACUGAUACGUAAACAUGCCCUCAGUAGUAGAUCAAGCUAAAGCAAAGUCUUCUCUUGACGUAUCCAAUUCGAAGUGAUUAAAUUAAGAGAAAUGUCAAAACGAUCUCGUAUGAUUAUUGACAUAAUCCUUUACGUCCCUCAUGUAUACCUUUGACUUCCAUUCAUUUUUAUCUAAUGAGGGAAGGCAGACAAGUAUAGGUUCUUCCCAACCUCAUCCCUUUCCCUUUCUCCUCCCUUUUUUUUUUUUUGGGACUUCUGACUUCUAACCUCCUAACACGAUUGGAAGCGAGCCAGCGGUCGGCGUCCCAUACCUUUGAAAGCCCACCAGCUAGCAUUUGGAAUCACAAGAAUAGCGAACUGAGCGAGCCUUUUAUGAUACUUUACAUGUGAGGCUAGAAAAGAUUUACAGAAAGGACCGUGGCCUACUUUUCAGAAAUUUUGAAUGUCCUCCAUGCUAGCGAUAUACACACACUUGAAACUCAAAUGCUUCACGCAAUAGCUUACUCAUCACUUUUUAUUGUUAAAGAAUCAUUCUCAAAUCACCAAUGGGAUCUAAUUUAGUAGCUAGAAAAUGACAUUGAUUUGCAUAACAGUAUUCUCAAAUUAGAAAAAAAAAAAAAACCAUUCUCAAAAAAAAAUCUCAUGCAAUUACAAAAUCAAGCCAAUUUUUGGAUCAAACCAAAGAAAAAUUAAAAUUAAAAUUCAACCGGAUAAUAGUUCCAAAACUCAUUGAAAAGACGAAGGAAAAGAUAAGAAAGUUUCACUAAAACCACGCGUCACUGUUAUGCAUUAUACUCAACAGUACACGAUAGAACGCCGACAUCACUAAAAGUAUGGGUCUUCUUGGGCGGUACCAUAUGUUCUCUUUUUUCUUUUAUUUAUUCGGUCGGGACCAUAAGACCACAGGCUUGAUUGACAUGAAAAACGUGCACUGGUUUUGAAAUUCACGUUGAUACAUAUGGCUCAAUCAUAUUCUGUGUCAGGAGAAGAUGAAAUCUCUGUGGCCAGAAAUGGCUGCAUCUUCCAUCCACCACUACUAUUAUUCAACGAAUACACACACGUGUCAGGCAUGUAUUGCUUCUGUUAAUUGAACUCUUAAGUCUGAGGUUAAGCUUAUCUGAAAUCAGUUGAUCAAUUACGUCUGCGCACUAGACAAAAAUUCUCAUCUUCUUUAAUUUCUCUAUCUCUUUCCUUUGGGAUUCUCUUCUGAUACAAGUCAUUGACGAAUAAAUACCACGCGAAAAAAUAAGUAGAUAUUCAAAGUUAGGUGCUUUGGCUUCAUUAUAAAUACUUCAAGGUUUUGUUCAAUUUGUCACACUGCCAAGAAUUGAAUCAAGAAAGCCAAAACCCCCCAAAAAUUAUGACAAUGAAGUUUCCAAACUCUCCACUAGUGCUGCUCAUCCUCUCAAUCCUUUCAUCACUCUCAGUAUCAUGGGCAACGUCAGAGCCAGUUCCCAUUAAUGGCUUUCUCCAAUGCCUUCCAAAACAGUUUCAUUCUGGCCACCCAAUCUUUGAAGCCGUUUACACCCCUCAAAACACCUCUUUUCAAUCCAUUUUGAUGGCACGCCUUAAAAACCGCAGAUUUUCAAGCCCUACAACUCCAAAACCUCUGGCCAUUGUAGCAGCCAAGCACGAAUCUCAUGUGCAGGCAACUAUUGUUUGUGCAAAACAACAUGGACUGCAAAUUAGAAUCCGAAGUGGUGGCCAUGACUAUGAGGGUCUAUCGUACGUAUCGCAUGUCCCCUUUGUCGUUCUUGACAUGUUUCAUCUCCAAUCCGUUAAUGUUAGUGUCAAGGAUGAGAGUGCUUGGGUUGAGUCUGGAGCUACUCUUGGCAAAAUUUAUCAUAAAAUUGCUCAGAAAUCCAAGGUUCAUGGGUUUCCUGCUGGGGUUGGACCAACUGUUGGUGCUGGUGGCCACUUCAGUGGGGGAGGGUAUGGGAAUUUGAUGAGAAAAUAUGGCCUUAGCAUCGACAAUAUUGUCGAUGCUAAACUAGUUGAUGCAAAUGGUAGAAUCCUUGAUAGAAAGUCUAUGGGAGAAGACAUUUUCUGGGCCAUUAAUGGAGGUGGAGGAGCUAGCUUUGGAGUCAUUCUUUCAUGGAAACUCAAGCUUGUUCGAGUUCCAGAAAAAGUGACCGUGUUCAACGUUACAAGGACUUUAGAGCAAGGCGUUACAGAUGUCCUUUAUAAGUGGCAAUUUGUAGCACCCGUGCUCCCUAAAGACCUCUUCCUGAGAGCAAGGCCAGAAAUCGAGAAUAAUACUGAGGGCAAGAAGAUUGCGGAAGUAUCAUUCAUCGGUCAAUUUUUGGGACAAACUCGCGAGCUUCUGCCUUUGAUGAACGAGAGCUUCCCCGAAUUGCGUUUACGACGAGAAGAUUGUCAUGAAGUGAGUUGGUUUGAAUCCGUUGUAUUCUGGGCUGAACUCCCACUUGGAACCCCAAGAUCUAUUUAUCUCAACCUGAAAAACAAACCAAUACCCUUCUUCAAAGCUAAGUCUGACUAUGUGAAGAAACCAAUUCCAAAAAAAGUUAUAGAAUACAUGUUUAAGGCGAUGCUUGAGAUAGGGAAUAUAUGGAUGGAAUGGAACCCUCAUGGUGGAAGAAUGAGUGAGAUUUCUGCGUCAGCAACUCCAUCCCCUCACAGAGCUGGAAACCUAUAUUCGAUUCAAUACUAUACGUCGUGGUUUCAAGACGAAGGGAUUGAGGCCACCAACAGGUACAUUCACUUAACAAGAAAGUUGCAUGAAAAGAUGACUCCGUUUGUCUCCAGGAACCCGAGAGAGGCCUUCCAAAACUAUAGGGAUCUCGACAUUGGCGCCAAUGUGUACAACCAAAGUAACCUUCUAACUGCUAGAGUUUACGGAAGCAAGUAUUUUAAAGGUAACUUCGAAAGAUUGGUGCGUGUGAAAACCAUGGUUGAUCCUCACAACUUUUUCAAGCAUGAACAAAGUAUCCCACCUAUUUAGAGAGAGAUUGGAAGGUUUAACAAUAUGAACAUGUAUGAGUCUGGC
rnacentral:lncRNA from 1 species